rfam:Lupinus angustifolius cultivar Tanjil contig_4178, whole genome shotgun sequence.
AGGUGCGAUCAUACCAACACUAAUGCACCAGAUCCCAUCAGAACUCUGCAGUGAAGCGUGCUUGGGCUAGAGUAGUACUAGGAUGGGUGACCACCUUGGAAGUCCUCGUGUUGCACCUC